GACGAACGCUGGCGGCGUGCUUAACACAUGCAAGUCGAACGCUGAAGCUCAGCUUUUGUUGGGUGGAUGAGUGGCGAACGGGUGAGUAACACGUGAGUAACCUGCCCCCUUCUUUGGGAUAACGCCCGGAAACGGGUGCUAAUACUGGAUAUUCACUGGUCUUCGCAUGGGGGUUGGUGGAAAGGGUUUUUCUGGUGGGGGAUGGGCUCGCGGCCUAUCAGCUUGUUGGUGGGGUGAUGGCCUACCAAGGCUUUGACGGGUAGCCGGCCUGAGAGGGUGACCGGGCACAUUGGGACUGAGAUACGGCCCAGGCUCCUACGGGGGGCAGCACGGGGGAAUAUUGCACAAUGGGCGCAAGCCUGAUGCGGCGACGGCGCGUGAGGGAUGGAGGCCUUCAGGUUGUGAACCUCUUUCGCUAAUGGUCAAGCCGCAACAAUGGUUGUGGUGAGGGUAGUGGGUAAAGAAGCGCCGGCUAACUACGUG
rnacentral:rRNA from 1 species